GCCUCCUUGGCUCAGUUGGCUAGAGCGCAGGUCUCAUAUUCGCUUAUGAGUGAUCGCAUGAUCAUACAAUCCUGAGGUCGCAAGUUCGAGCCUUGCAGGGGGCA
rnacentral:tRNA from 1 species